GUACUGUGCGAACGUUAUUCGGAAUCACUGGGCUUAAAGGGUGCGUAGGCGGCCGUUCAAGUCGGGUGUGAAAUCUCUCGGCUCAACCGAGGAAUUGCGCUCGAAACUAGACGGCUUGAGUAAGAUAGGGGUGUGUGGAACUUCCAGUGGAGCGGUGAAAUGUGUUGAUAUUGGAAGGAACGCCGGUAGCGAAAGCGACACACUGGGUCUUAACUGACGCUGAGGCACGAAAGCCAGGGUAGCGAACGGGGAUUAGAUACCCCGGUAGUCCUGGCUGUAAACGUUGAGCACUAGACGGGAGGGACUUCGGUUCAUCCGGUCGCAGCGAAAGCACUAAGUGCUCCGCCUGGGGGAGUAUGGUCGCAAGGCUG
rnacentral:rRNA from 1 species